AGAGUUUGAUCCUGGCUCAGAGCGAACGCUGGCGGCAGGCUUAACACAUGCAAGUCGAACGGGCGUAGCAAUACGUCAGUGGCAGACGGGUGAGUAACGCGUGGGAACGUACCUUUUGGUUCGGAACAACACAGGGAAACUUGUGCUAAUACCGGUUAAGCCCUUACGGGGAAAGAUUUAUCGCCGAAAGAUCGGCCCGCGUCUGAUUAGCUAGUUGGUGAGGUAACGGCUCACCAAGGCGACGAUCAGUAGCUGGUCUGAGAGGAUGAUCGGCCACAUUGGGACUGAGACACGGCCCAAACUCCUACGGGAGGCAGCAGUGGGGAAUAUUGGACAAUGGGCGCAAGCCUGAUCCAGCCAUGCCGCGUGAGUGAUGAAGGCCCUAGGGUUGUAAAGCUCUUUUGUGCGGGAAGAUAAUGACGGUACCGCAAGAAUAAGCCCCGGCUAACUUCGUGCCAGCAGCCGCGGUAAUACGAAGGGGGCUAGCGUUGCUCGGAAUCACUGGGCGUAAAGGGUGCGUAGGCGGGUCUUUAAGUCAGAGGUGAAAUCCUGGAGCUCAACUCCAGAACUGCCUUUGAUACUGAGGAUCUUGAGUUCGGGAGAGGUGAGUGGAACUGCGAGUGUAGAGGUGAAAUUCGUAGAUAUUCGCAAGAACACCAGUGGCGAAGGCGGCUCACUGGCCCGAUACUGACGCUGAGGCACGAAAGCGUGGGGAGCAAACAGGAUUAGAUACCCUGGUAGUCCAA
rnacentral:rRNA from 1 species